rnacentral:tRNA from 2 species
GAGGCAUAGCUCAGCUGGUAGAGCAUCCGCCUCACACGCGGGGGGUCACAGGUUCGAGUCCUGCUGUCUCC